rnacentral:rRNA from 1 species
UACGUAGGUGGCGAGCGUUGUCCGGAUUUAUUGGGCGUAAAGCGAGCGCAGGUGGUUUAUUAAGUCUGGUGUAAAAGGCAGUGGCUCAACCAUUGUAUGCAUUGGAAACUGGUAGACUUGAGUGCAGGAGAGGAGAGUGGAAUUCCAUGUGUAGCGGUGAAAUGCGUGGAUAUAUGGAGGAACACCGGUGGCGAAAGCGGCUCUCUGGCCUGUAACUGACACUGAGGCUCGAAAGCGUGGGGAGCAAACAGG